rnacentral:rRNA from 1 species
GCAGUCGAACGGUAACAGGAGGAAGCUUGCUUCUUUGCUGACGAGUGGCGCACGGGUGAGUAAUAUAUAGGUAAUGUGCCCCUUAGUCUGGGAUAGCCACUGGAAACGGUGAUUAAUACUAGAUACUCCUUUUAGUCAUAAGGCUAUUUGGGAAAGUUUUUCGCUAAGGGAUCUGCCUAUAUCCUAUCAGCUAGUUGGUGAGGUAAGAGCUCACCAAGGCAAUGACGGGUAGCGGGUUUGAGAGGAUGAUCCGCCACACUGGUACUGAGACACGGACCAGACUCCUACGGGAGGCAGCAGUGAGGAAUAUUGCACAAUGGGGGAAACCCUGAUGCAGCAACGCCGCGUGGAGGAUGACGCAUUUCGGUGUGUAAACUCCUUUUAUAUGUCAAGAAAAUGACGGUAGCAUAUGAAUAAGCACCGGCUAACUC